GAUGAACGCUAGCUACAGGCUUAACACAUGCAAGUCGAGGGGCAGCAUGAACUUAGCUUGCUAAGUUUGAUGGCGACCGGCGCACGGGUGAGUAACACGUAUCCAACCUUCCGUUUACUCAGGGAUAGCCUUUCGAAAGAAAGAUUAAUACCUGAUAGUAUGGUGAGAUUGCAUGAUAACACCAUUAAAGAUUUAUUGGUAAACGAUGGGGAUGCGUUCCAUUAGGUAGUAGGCGGGGUAACGGCCCACCUAGCCUGCGAUGGAUAGGGGUUCUGAGAGGAAGGUCCCCCCACAUUGGAACUGAGACACGGUCCAAACUCCUACGGGAGGCAGCAGUGAGGAAUAUUGGUCAAUGGGCGAGAGCCUGAACCAGCCAAGUAGCGUGAAGGAUGAAGGUCCUACGGAUUGUAAACUCUUUAUACGGGAAUAAAGUUUCCUACGUGUAGGAUUUUGUAUGUACCGUAUGAAUAAGCAAUCGGCUAAUCCGUG
rnacentral:rRNA from 1 species